rnacentral:rRNA from 1 species
UACGGAGGAUGCGAGCGUCAUCCGGAUUUAUUGGGUUUAAAGGGUGCGUAGGCGGACGCUUAAGUCAGCGGUAAAAUUGCGGGGCUCAACCUCGUCGAGCCGUUGAAACUGGGUGUCUUGAGUGGGCGAGAAGUACGCGGAAUGCGUGGUGUAGCGGUGAAAUGCAUAGAUAUCACGCAGAACUCCGAUUGCGAAGGCAGCGUACCGGCGCCCAACUGACGCUGAAGCACGAAGGCGUGGGUAUCGAACAGG